UGGGGAAUAUUGCACAAUGGGCGAAAGCCUGAUGCAGCGACGCCGCGUGAGUGAUGAAGUAUUUCGGUAUGUAAAGCUCUAUCAGCAAGGAAGAUAAUGACGGUACUUGACUAAGAAGGUCCGGCUAAAUACGUGCCAGCAGCCGCGGUAAUACGUAUGGACCAAGCGUUAUCCGGAUUUACUGGGUGUAAAGGGAGCGUAGACGGUAGGGCAAGUCUGAUGUGAAAGCCCGGGGCUCAACCCCGGUACUGCAUUGGAAACUGUCCAACUAGAGUGCAGGAGAGGUAAGUGGAAUUCCUAGUGUAGCGGUGAAAUGCGUAGAUAUUAGGAGGAACACCAGUGGCGAAGGCGGCUUACUGGACUGUAACUGACGUUGAGGCUCGAAAGCGUGGGGAGCAAACAGG
rnacentral:rRNA from 1 species